rnacentral:rRNA from 1 species
AGCAGCCGCGGUAAUUCCAGCUCCAAUAGCGUAUAUUAAAGUUGCUGCAGUUAAAAAGCUCGUAGUUGAAUUUCGGGACCAUCAUGUCGGUCGUGCCUAGGUACGUACUGGCAUUGUUGGUUUCUACCUUCUGACGAACCAUGAUGUCAUUUAUUUGGUGUCGUGGGAAAUCAGGACUGUUACUUUGAAAAAAUUAGAGUGUUUAAAGCAGGCUCACGCUUGAAUACAUUAGCAUGGAAUAAUGAAAUAGGACGUUUGAUUCUAUUUUGUUGGUUUCUAGGAUCGACGUAAUGAUUAAUAGGGAUAGUUGGGGGCAUUAGUAUUCAAUUGUCAGAGGUGAAAUUCUUGGAUUUAUUGAAGACUAACUACUGCGAAAGCAUUUGCCAAGGAUGUUUUCAUUAAUCAAGAACGAAAGUUAGGGGAUCGAAGACGAUCAGAUACCGUCGUAGUCUUAACCAUAAACUAUGCCGACUAGGGAUCGGAUGAU